UCGGAGGAAAAGAAACCAACAGGGAUUGCCUUAGUAACGGCGAGUGAAGCGGCAAAAGCUCAAAUUUGAAAUCUGGCACCUUCGGUGUCCGAGUUGUAAUUUGAAGAAGGUAACUUUGGAGUUGGCUCUUGUCUAUGUUCCUUGGAACAGGACGUCACAGAGGGUGAGAAUCCCGUGCGAUGAGAUGCCCAAUUCUAUGUAAAGUGCUUUCGAAGAGUCGAGUUGUUUGGGAAUGCAGCUCUAAGUGGGUGGUAAAUUCCAUCUAAAGCUAAAUAUUGGCGAGAGACCGAUAGCGAACAAGUACAGUGAUGGAAAGAUGAAAAGAACUUUGAAAAGAGAGUGAAAAAGUACGUGAAAUUGUUGAAAGGGAAGGGCUUGAGAUCAGACUUGGUAUUUUGCGAUCCUUUCCUUCUUGGUUGGGUUCCUCGCAGCUUACUGGGCCAGCAUCGGUUUGGAUGGUAGGAUAAUGACUAAGGAAUGUGGCUCUACUUCGGUGGAGUGUUAUAGCCUUGGUUGAUACUGCCUGUCUAGACCGAGGACUGCGUCUUUGACUACGACAAUGCAUAG
rnacentral:rRNA from 1 species